rnacentral:rRNA from 1 species
UGGGGAAUAUUGCACAAUGGGCGCAAGCCUGAUGCAGCCAUGCCGCGUGUGUGAAGAAGGCCUUCGGGUUGUAAAGCACUUUCAGCGGGGAGGAAGGCGGUGAGGUUAAUAACCUCAUCGAUUGACGUUACCCGCAGAAGAAGCACCGGCUAACUCCGUGCCAGCAGCCGCGGUAAUACGGAGGGUGCAAGCGUUAAUCGGAAUUACUGGGCGUAAAGCGCACGCAGGCGGUCUGUCAAGUCGGAUGUGAAAUCCCCGGGCUCAACCUGGGAACUGCAUUCGAAACUGGCAGGCUAGAGUCUUGUAGAGGAGGGUAGAAUUCCAAGUGUAGCGGUGAAAUGCGUAGAGAUCUGGAGGAAUACCGGUGGCGAAGGCGGCCCCCUGGACAAAGACUGACGCUCAGGUGCGAAAGCGUGGGGAGCAAACAGG